rnacentral:sRNA from 1 species
UAAACGCGUGAGCGAUAGUAGCGGAAAUCCUUUUUUUGAGAUUGCCUUUAGCAUGUCAAGAAAAGAUUGAAGCGAAUAGCGCGACCCCUA